UCCUCACUUCUCAUCGGACCGCCGGGCAAUAAACACGCGAGAGAUGGAGGUGCAUCGUUAGAAAAGGAAAACUGAGUGUCCGAAUCACUUGCGUCUGGACUUGCAUUGAAUACGCCGUUACUCUUCCUGUGCCAAACGGGACUGAAACAUCACAAUUGACCGCGCAUUAAACAUCACAUCUGGAGUAUAAUGGAUAUGGAACUUCAAAUAGAGCUGAUUGAUGGGAUUGGUCAGCCACUCUUGGAGAGCCUUCUGCAGUCUUCUGACGUGAAGUGGCUUGCUGGCCAUCCCCACAAGUGCCAUAAUUUCUAGAAAUUCUUCUUCUCCAGCAUCGCACAAUUGCUGGACGUCAUCGCCUCCUGUGCAAGAAAAAAGUCUGAAAUUAACGGAAACUGGAAAAAGCGAUGAAACCCGCGAGUUCAAUUUGCUACAUCAACUUGGAAAGCUCACUGUAAGGCUACACAAUCUAUUACACGCUUGAAAUAUCAACGAAGCCACGUUUCUUGCUUGAAAAAAGAAAGAAAGAAAGGAAGAAGGGAAGAAGCGGUCGGUGUUACCCGGAGAAAAAUUCUUUGCGCGCAAUUUCUUCUUCUUUGUUAUUUUUUUAUACUUUUUAGCAAAAAAAUAUCACGUACCCAUCUCUAACAGUGUGUCGUAGUAUCCAAGGAGAGAAGCACGCUGCAUGACGCGGUACAACUGAAGUUCGGCCUCGUUCUGCGGCACGGAAGUCUGCACGACUGGAAUAGAAUAACAAUGACGAGUAAAACAAAAAUAAAUUAUCUGUAUUUGCCCAAACAUAAGGAUCGAAAACGACAUUGCAAAAUGUAUCAGACGCGGUUCCCCGUCAAUUUCUUUCUUAACUGUUUCUUGUCGUCGAUGCUCGGUCAGGUUUUUAUCUAUACGCAAUUGGCACGUGUUCGUUAUACGUUUGCGUGUGUGAAUGUACGGAUACAACGUAGAAAAAAGUUGCCAUUUUUUGCUCCGUACAGCAGGCAACUCCUCGUGAUAUAACCGCACGGAUUUCUGAUCGUCAUUCUUUCAGAAUCCACGACGGGUUCCAAACAUUUUAUAUACGUGAUAUAUCUCAUCGAUUUACGUGUAGAUCGGAGAAUCGAACUAAUUUAACUCAACAACAGAGUGCCGUAAUUAAUGAAUAAGCUAACCGCAGAAAAAAAUUCUUGUAAGGCAAAAAUUUGGGAGCAUCUAGGUAUGAUCGUUUUUGUACCCUACCGCAAGUCGAGCAGUAAUCAUCGAUAAUUUAUUGAACGAGCCAUGGCGCCCACAUGGUGCAUCUCAUUAUUCCUGAUCUACCGUACAUUCGCUCUUUGCUAGAUUUGACUAGCUCGCGAAGGCAAUCGAUGCUCUGUUGAACGUCGUUUGUCCCGACAAAAAAAAAAAAGAAGAAAAAAAAAGAGAAAUAAAUAAUCAAAAUAAGAAUCUGACUUCAAUUUGGAAUUCUAAGUUUUCUGAUUUUUCACAGUUCUCCAUAUUGAAAACGCAUAUUUUUGGAAACAUUUUUUAGGGGAUUAUUUUCUCCGCAAUUAUAUGAUUACUGUUGGACGUUUUCAGAUGUUAGUUAUCGCUUACUUUGCUAUCUGUGCAGUUGUUUGAUUUUAUCUCGAGAAUUUAAAAUACCAGUUGAAAAUAUCUAUGAAACUAUAAUUUAUACUGGCAUUUCGUUCGGCUAAAAACCACAAUUUAUCAAUUUCGUAAUCAAUCAAUUUGAUACCUUUGUGAACACUCAAUCGGAGGAAAUUUUCGAAAAGAUCAUAUGCGUGAAGAAGCAAUGAAAUUUUGCUGAUUAGACAAUUUUUACAGGUUCUGAGUGUACUUUUCAAAAAUUCAGAGCAACCCAGAAAAAUAUGCAUAACUUUGAGAACAAGUUCUAUAAAUUUUUGAAUAUCUUUUUACGCGUCUUCGAUGAAAUUUUUAAAUAAUUCUUUCUAGCUGUUUCUACAUCAAAAUUAGAGCAUUUCCAGAGAUAUUCAGAGAAUAUGAGAAAAGUUACAUCGUAUAUAAUUACAUGCCGGUUAGGGUGGAGGUAUGAUUAUUUUCCUCAACAUAUGUUUUCCAGAAAUCAUUGAAAGCAACUUUAAUAACGGAAUUUGGGAAGAAAGCUUAUCGACUAGAUUUUUUCGGUAUGUAAUAAUGAUCGUCUAUAAGCUCGAACAGCUAAAUAAUAUACGUGCAUGAUACAGAGAAAGAGUGCGUCAAGUUCAUGUAAUAUGAAGAAAGCAACGUUGUUUGAUUGAGAUAAUCAUAUCAUCUGCUUGAAAAAAAGUCGUUGGAACAAUAAUUCGAUUUAUUGAGUAAAACUUACACGUUUAUCUGCAUCGAUAAAACAUUUCUUUCAUCAUAUUUGAUAAUUUCUACAAAUUCUUUUUUGUGUUAAUAUCACUGAAAAAAAUGUAGGGACCUAAAAUACAAUAUUAUAUAACGACCGUGCUAAUUUUUAUUGUGAACAUGGCUGAGGUUAUAAUAGUUUGCUUUACGAUUAAAUUUGGUUAAAUUCGGUGUAAAAAAAAAAAAAAAAAAAACAGUUCUUACGACUAUAAAAUAUUUCAGGACCGUCUGCUCGGUAUUUUGUGCAUAAUAAAUAAACUGAACA